rnacentral:miRNA from 1 species
UUUAGUGUGUGUGUAUAUGUAUAGAGUAUAUAGCUACACACACACACACACACACACACACACACACACACACACACACACACA